rnacentral:misc_RNA from 1 species
UCCGGUCUGGCACCGGCAGUCCUCCCAGAGUCCCCGACUUGACUCGCUGGCAACUGGGAGCGGGGGUUGCGCUCGUUGCGGGACUUAACCCAACAUCUCACGACACGAGCUGACGACAGCCAUGCAGCACCUGUGUAUCCUGAUAUUGCUAUCUCGUCAGGCUUUCACCCUUCUACUAGAUACAUGUCAAGGCCAGGUAAGGUUCUUCGCGUUGCAUCGAAUUAAGCCACAUACUCCACCGCUUGUGCAGGCCCCCGUCAAUUCCUUUGAGUUUUAGCCUUGCGGCCGUACUCCCCAGGCGGGGCACUUAAUGCGUUAGCGCCGGCACCCAGGGGGUCGCUCCCCCAGGCACCUAGUGCCCAUCGUUUACGGCUAGGACUAC